rnacentral:rRNA from 1 species
CCUACGGGAGGCAGCAGUGAGGAAUAUUGGUCAAUGGACGCAAGUCUGAACCAGCCAUGCCGCGUGCAGGAAGACGGCCCUAUGAGUUGUAAACUGCUUUUGUACGAGGGUAAACGCAGAUACGCGUAUCUGUCUGAAAGUAUCGUACGAAUAAGGAUCGGCUAACUCCGUGCCAGCAGCCGCGGGAAUACGGGGGAUUCAAGCGUUAUCCGGAUUUAUUGGGGUUAAAGGGGGCGUAGGCGGUCGGGUAAGUUAGAGGUGAAAUCCCGAGGCUCAACUUCGGAAUUGCCUCGGAUACUGUUCGGCGAGAGAGUAGUUGCGGUAGGCGGAAUGUAUGGUGUAGCGGUGAAAUGCUUAGAGAUCAUACAGAACACCGAUUGCGAAGGCAGCUUACCAAGCUACUUCUGACGUUGAGGCAUGAAAGCUUGGGGAGCAAACAGGAUUAGAUACCCCAGUAGUC